rnacentral:rRNA from 1 species
CCUACGGGUGGCAGCAGUAGGGAAUAUUGCUCAAUGGGGGCAACCCUGAAGCAGCAACGCAGCGUGGAGGAUGAAGGUUUUAGGGUUUUAAACUCCUUUUUUGAGAGAAGAUAAUGACGUUAUCUCACCCUUAAUCACCGGAUAACUCCGUGCCGGCACCCCCGGUAAUACGGCGGGUGCCAGCGUUACUCGGAAUAUCUGGGCGUAAAGGGUGCGCAGGCGGGGUUGUAAGUCAGAUGUGAAAUCCUGUAGCUUAACUCGAGAAAUGCCUUUGAAACUAUGAGUCUUGAGUGUGGGAGAGGGAGGUGGAAUUCUGUGGUGUGGCGGAAAAUCGGUAGAUAUCAACAGAGAUACUCAUUGCGAAGGCCACCUACUGGAACAUUACCUACGCUCAUGCACGAAAGCUUUGGGAGCAAACAGGAAUAGAUACCCGGGUAGUC